rnacentral:rRNA from 1 species
UUUAAAUUGAAGAGUUUGAUCAUGGCUCAGAUUGAACGCUGGCGGCAGGCCUAACACAUGCAAGUCGAACGGUAGCACAGAGAGCUUGCUCUCGGGUGACGAGUGGCGGACGGGUGAGUAAUGUCUGGGAAACUGCCUGAUGGAGGGGGAUAACUACUGGAAACGGUAGCUAAUACCGCAUAACGUCGCAAGACCAAAGAGGGGGACCUUCGGGCCUCUUGCCAUCAGAUGUGCCCAGAUGGGAUUAGCUAGUAGGUGGGGUAACGGCUCACCUAGGCGACGAUCCCUAGCUGGUCUGAGAGGAUGACCAGCCACACUGGAACUGAGACACGGUCCAGACUCCUACGGGAGGCAGCAGUGGGGAAUAUUGCACAAUGGGCGCAAGCCUGAUGCAGCCAUGCCGCGUGUAUGAAGAAGGCCUUCGGGUUGUAAAGUACUUUCAGCGGGGAGGAAGGUGUUGUGGUUAAUAACCACAGCAAUUGACGUUACCCGCAGAAGAAGCACCGGCUAACUCCGUGCCAGCAGCCGCGGUAAUACGGAGGGUGCAAGCGUUAAUCGGAAUUACUGGGCGUAAAGCGCACGCAGGCGGUCUGUCAAGUCGGAUGUGAAAUCCCCGGGCUCAACCUGGGAACUGCAUUCGAAACUGGCAGGCUAGAGUCUUGUAGAGGGGGGUAGAAUUCCAGGUGUAGCGGUGAAAUGCGUAGAGAUCUGGAGGAAUACCGGUGGCGAAGGCGGCCCCCUGGACAAAGACUGACGCUCAGGUGCGAAAGCGUGGGGAGCAAACAGGAUUAGAUACCCUGGUAGUCCACGCCGUAAACGAUGUCGAUUUGGAGGUUGUGCCCUUGAGGCGUGGCUUCCGGAGCUAACGCGUUAAAUCGACCGCCUGGGGAGUACGGCCGCAAGGUUAAAACUCAAAUGAAUUGACGGGGGCCCGCACAAGCGGUGGAGCAUGUGGUUUAAUUCGAUGCAACGCGAAGAACCUUACCUGGUCUUGACAUCCACAGAACUUUCCAGAGAUGGAUUGGUGCCUUCGGGAACUGUGAGACAGGUGCUGCAUGGCUGUCGUCAGCUCGUGUUGUGAAAUGUUGGGUUAAGUCCCGCAACGAGCGCAACCCUUAUCCUUUGUUGCCAGCGGUUAGGCCGGGAACUCAAAGGAGACUGCCAGUGAUAAACUGGAGGAAGGUGGGGAUGACGUCAAGUCAUCAUGGCCCUUACGACCAGGGCUACACACGUGCUACAAUGGCGCAUACAAAGAGAAGCGACCUCGCGAGAGCAAGCGGACCUCAUAAAGUGCGUCGUAGUCCGGAUUGGAGUCUGCAACUCGACUCCAUGAAGUCGGAAUCGCUAGUAAUCGUAGAUCAGAAUGCUACGGUGAAUACGUUCCCGGGCCUUGUACACACCGCCCGUCACACCAUGGGAGUGGGUUGCAAAAGAAGUAGGUAGCUUAACCUUCGGGAGGGCGCUUACCACUUUGUGAUUCAUGACUGGGGUGAAGUCGUAACAAGGUAACCGUAGGGGAACCUGCGGUUGGAUCACCUCCUUACCU